rnacentral:rRNA from 1 species
AUUGAACGCUGGCGGCAGGCCUAACACAUGCAAGUCGAACGAGUGGCGGACGGGUGAGUAAUGUCUGGGAAACUGCACGAUGGAGGGGGAUAACUACUGGAAACGGUAGCUAAUACCGCAUACAAUCAGAUGUGCCCAGAUGGGAGUAGCAAGUAGGUGGGGUAACGGCUCACCUACGCAACGAUCCCGAGCUGGUCUGAGAGGAUUACCAGCCACACUGGAACUGAGACACGGUCCAGACUCCUACGGGAGGCAGCAGUGGGGAAUAUUGCACAAUGGGCGCAAGCCUGAUGCAGCCAUGCCGCGUGUAUGAAGAAGGCCUUCGGGUUGUAAAGUACUUUCAGCGAGGAGGCGUUACUCGCAGAAGAAGCACCGGCUAACUCCGUGCCAGCAGCCGCGGUAAUAC